rnacentral:rRNA from 1 species
GACGAACGCUGGCGGCGUGCUUAACACAUGCAAGUCGAACGGAAAGGCCCUGCUUUUGUGGGGUGCUCGAGUGGCGAACGGGUGAGUAACACGGGAGUAACCUGCCCUUGACUUUGGGAUAACUUCAGGAAACUGGGGCUAAUACCGGAUAGGAGCUCCUGCUGCAUGGUGGGGGUUGGAAAGUUUCGGCGGUUGGGGAUGGACUCGCGGCUUAUCAGCUUGUUGGUGGGGUAGUGGCUUACCAAGGCUUUGACGGGUAGCCGGCCUGAGAGGGUGACCGGCCACAUUGGGACUGAGAUACGGCCCAGACUCCUACGGGAGGCAGCAGUGGGGAAUAUUGCACAAUGGGCGGAAGCCUGAUGCAGCAACGCCGCGUGCGGGAUGACGGCCUUCGGGUUGUAAACCGCUUUCGCCUGUGACGAAGCGUGAGUGACGGUAAUGGGUAAAGAAGCACCGGCUAACUACGUG